UCCCCCGGUCCCUCAGAGACCAGAGCGCCUGACUGAGAGACCGUGGCUGUUUAUUUGUGUACCGAGCUGACUGGUAACGGUCGUUUUUUCACCAGAUAAAAACUCGCGCAGUCACUAACAUGUUUCUAGUCUUUUAUCUACUCGGGUGUAUGGCAAGUUUUGUUCACUAUCGUACACCGACGGGGCCCAAGUUCGACAUCUUGGAAAACCACGCGUCUUGGAUGAAACUGUAUGAAGAGUCAAACCUCAAAUUAUGUAGCCGGGAUACCGAAGAGACUCUACAAGAAUGGGAAGGAGGUACACCGUGAGAGUUUAGCAGGUUGUUGCCGGUGGUAGUAUCCACGCACACACACCCGUAUGGAGGGACCCCUCCCUCGCUGCCUGAAGGAAGAAGUCGGUUUUCGUCCAGGGGUCGACAGUGGGUAAGAAGAGGAAGCGAGGUGGGAACAGAGGUCGUGGACGUCCCUCAUGCGGUUCCCGUGCAGGUGGACGAGGGCGAGGUCGUAUCUAGAUUUAAACUGCACCACGCUACUGUUAAGUUGAAGUUUCAUACAUUUAAUAUUGACCACAGAUGUAUUGAGUAGUCUUCGUAUUGUGUUAUUCAGUACACAUGUUCGAAUACCUAUUCUACCUAUACCAGAUGUAAAAAUUGCAGCUAACAUGUCAUGACGCUUUGUUGUAAACAUUGUAAACAUGUGACAUGUUGAAAUAAUCUGUCUGGAGUUUAUUGACAUGUUGAAAUACCUAUGCCUGGUUUAAAUAUCUUAUACUGUAUCUUGCCAUAGCCAUGUAAGAGUUGAAGGU